GAUGAAGAACGCAGCGAAAUGCGAUAAGUAAUGCGAAUUGCAGAAUUUCCGUGAGUCAUCGAAUCUUUGAACGCACAUUGCGCCCCUUGGUAUCCCGAGGGGCAUGCCUGUUCGAGCGUCAUUUCACCACUCAAGCCUGGCUUGGUGUUGGGCGACGUCCCCUUUGGGGACGCGCCUCGAAACGCUCGGCGGCGUGGCACCGGCUUUAAGCGUAGCAGAAUCUUUCGCUUUGGAAGUCGGGGCCCCGUCUGCCGGAAGACCUACUCGCAAGGUUGACCUCGGAUCAGGCAGGGAUACCCGCUGAACUUAAGCAUAUCAAUAAGCGGAGGA
rnacentral:misc_RNA from 1 species